AAGUCGUAACAAGGUAACCGUAGGUGAACCUGCGGUUGGAUCAUUAAAGUAAAUGAGAGGAAUCUCAGAUUUGAUUGUCGUAAAGACAUGAGAAUCAUCACCUAUUGGCUUAGUUACUGGUUUAAAACCCUUUGGCUAACCAAUUGUGUAAACGUCAUUUGAUUCUUGGUAGAAUAAAAGUUUUAAUUAUACAACUUUUGACAACGGAUCUCUUGGCUCUC
rnacentral:misc_RNA from 1 species